rnacentral:tRNA from 1 species
GGUGACAUAGCCAAGCGGUAAGGCCGAGGUCUGCAAAACCUCUAUUCCCCAGUUCGAUUCUGGGUGUCACCUCCA